CCUACGGGAGGCAGCAGUGAGGAAUAUUGGGCAAUGGGCGCGAGCCUGAACCAGCCAAGUCGCGUGAGGGAAGACGGCCCUAUGGAUUGUAAACCUCUUUAGCCGGGGAGCAACGCGGGGCACGUGUGGCCGGAGGGAGAGUACCCGCAGAAUAAGCAUCGGCUAACUCCGUGCCAGCAGCCGCGGUAAUACGGGGGAUGCGAGCGUUAUCCGGAUUUAUUGGGGUAAAAGGGUGCGUAGGCGGAACGUUAAGUCAGCGGUAAAAUGUCCGGGCUCAACCCGGGCCGGCCGUUGAAACUGGGGAUCUUGAGUGGGAGAGAAGUAUGCGGAAUGCGUGGUGUAGCGGUGAAAUGCAUAGAUAUCACGCAGAACACCGAUUGCGAAGGCAGCAUGCCGGCGCCCGACUGACGCUGAGGCACGAAAGCGUGGGGAUCGAACAGGAUUAGAUACCCGAGUAGUC
rnacentral:rRNA from 1 species